AAGCGGGGGAUCUUCGGACCUCGCGCUACGAGAUGAGCCUACGUCCGAUUAGCUAGUUGGUAGGGUGAUGGCCUACCAAGGCGACGAUCGGUAGCUGGUCUGAGAGGACGAUCAGCCACACUGGAACUGAGACACGGUCCAGACUCCUACGGGAGGCAGCAGUGGGGAAUAUUGGACAAUGGGCGCAAGCCUGAUCCAGCAAUGCCGCGUGUGUGAAGAAGGCCUGCGGGUUGUAAAGCACUUUAAGCGGGGAAGAAAGGUGGGGUGUUAAUACCAUCUCACAUUGACGUUACCUGCAGAAUAAGCACCGGCUAACUCCGUGCCAGCAGCCGCGGUAAUACGGAGGGUGCGAGCGUUAAUCGGAAUUACUGGGCGUAAAGCGCGCGUAGGCGGUUUGUUAAGUCAGCUGUGAAAGCCCCGGGCUUAACCUGGGAAUGGCAGUUGAUACUGGCAGGCUAGAGUGUGGUAGAGGGGUGUGGAAUUUCCGGUGUAGCAGUGAAAUGCGUAGAGAUCGGAAGGAACACCAGUGGCGAAGGCGGCACCCUGGACCGACACUGACGCUGAGGUGCGAAAGCG
rnacentral:rRNA from 1 species